AUGGAAUACAUUGGUAAUACAAAGGCUGGCUUGAAGCUGGUGAAACUGCUACUCAGGGAGGCGUUUGUGCUGGAGGCGAUGGGUAUCAUGCCUUCCAAGGAUGCUGUGUUGGCUGUUCUAACCAUGAGAAAAGGUGAGAUGCAAAACUGUCCCGACACCGCCAUCUCCUUCAACAAGCUCGGCCUUUUUGAAGAUAUCGGGAAGCAAUUGAGGAACUACCUGGCUAAUACGGAGACCUCGAUACAUCUCCCAUACCUCCGCCGCGGGGAGGCCUGUCUCGAAGUCAUGGCAAAGGCUACCUUUCAUUGCUUCUAUGAGCUCUGGGUGGAAUGCCAAAGAUUGCACGGCCAGGAAUCCCUAGCAAGCAGCAAGCAGUUACUUGGCCAGUAUACUCAUUCGCAGCAUCACUCUGGUCUCUGGCCAGUCAUGUUUGCAGCUUGCAGUGUUAAACUUUGGCGGAGUAGAAAUGACAGAGUUUCAACAGAAUACAGACUUCCACUGCAUUGA
rnacentral:rRNA from 1 species